rnacentral:rRNA from 1 species
GACGAACGCUGGCGGCGUGCCUAAUACAUGCAAGUCGAACGCAGUGGGGAUGGGUGAGUAACACGUGGGUAACCUCCCAUCAGAGGGGAUAACACUUGGCAACUGGUGCUAAACUGCUAUUGAUGGAUGUACCCGCGGUGCAUUAGCUAGUUGGUGAGGUAACGGCUCACCAAGGCCACGCUGCAUAGCCCGCCUGAGAGGAUGAUCGGCCACACUGGGACUGAGACACGGCCCAGACUCCUACGGGAGGCAGCAGUGGGGAAUAUUGGGCAAUGGACGAAAGUCUGACCGAGCAACGCCGCGUGAGUGAAGAAGGUUUUCGGGUCGUAAAGCUCUGUUGUUGGAGAAGCGGUAUCUAACCAGAAAGCCACGGCUAACUACGUGCCAGCAGCCGCGGUAAUUC